GCCAUACCAGUCGGGGAGCAACUCCGAUUCACGAUUUUCCCGAUUCUAGAUGGCGCCAAGCUCGCCGAUCCUUAUCACGCCGUUCGCCUCCGACUCACGAAAUAAUCCCCAUUGUGCAUGGUUGACCUCGCAAGUUUAAGGCGGCCCGCACCCUCUGCGCUGUUUGUCGAGAGAUGGGAGAGAGUAAAAAGCCAGAAGGCUGUGCUGUUCGUGAAUGACAAAGGUCUGCAAAUAACCAGUGGGGUCUUUAGCUGAAAAAAAAAAGAAGCAAGAAACAAACAAACAAAAAAGGAGAGGACACUGAUUGCCUGCUCCAUAUGUUCGAGUCAAAAGUUACAGAAAAAGAGGUGCUAAGGACACGCUGCGAGCUUCGAACUCCCUUCGAAGAAACAUCUUUCGAACAAACGGCGUCGAUCAACCGGCUUGCGAUCAAACGGCUUUCGACCAAGCGGCGUUCGACCAAAUGGCGUUCGAUCAAAUGCUGUUAUGCUGUUUAUGAUGUUUCUUACUCAUGUUUGUACUGUUAUCAAUUACUUUUCUUCAAAUAACAGCUUAGGAUUUCGGAAUAUAAUUUCGGUUAUAAUGUGAUGAGGACGAUUCGAUGGACUGUGGACGGUGGACUGUCAACGGACGGUGAACGAACAAUAUUGGAUGAAAAUGAGCAAUAUAAUCUACAUAUAGCCGUCAGCCAAGGAAUAUUGGCCGCAAACUGGCAAUAUUGUUUACAUAUAGCCGUCGGUCAAACAAUAUUCCAUGAAAGUUGGAAAUAUGGUCUACAUAUUGCCAGCGACCGAACAAUAUUGGAUGAAAACGGGGAAUAUGGUCUACAUAUAGCCACCGACCAACGAAUAUUUGCUGAAAACUGGUAAUAUGGUCUACAUAUUGCCGUCGACCAAAUACGUAAUACUCGAUGCAACUGGGCAAUAUUACCUACAUACUCGUAUAGCCGUAGAACAAAUAAUAUUGGAUGAAAGUGCGCAAUAUGGUCUACAUAUAGCCGUCAACCAAGGAAUAUUGGCUCAAAAACUGAUAAUAUUGUUUACAUAUAUCCGUCGACAAAAUACUAUUCGAUGCAACUGGGCAAUAUGGUCUACAUAUAGCCGUAGAAGUAAUAAUAUUGAAUGAAAGUUCCCACCGGGGACGAUUUCUUCUGGGAUGAUUUCUCCGUAUCCCGGAAAUUACAGGAGCGCCGUUGUGAACAGCUGAGGAAACGGAUCAUAGCCGAUCAAGCGCUAUCACAUUACUUGUUUAAAUUGGGUGGUACUUGUUUAAAUUACUGUUCCUCUCUCGCAAAGUUUGCUGAGUACAGACAACGCGGUAAGAUUAGAAAGCGAUUCUCCGUCAACAAAUAAAUCUUGACUAUGCCA